GACGAAGGGGGCAAGCGUUGGUUCGGAAUUACCGGGCGUAAAGCGAGUGUAGGUGGUUGUCGUAGUCAGGCGUGAAAGCCUCGAGCUCAACUCGAGAAAUGCGCUUGAUACUGGGCAGCUAGAGGACCGGAGAGGAUAGUGGAAUUCCCAGUGUAGUGGUGAAAUACGUAGAGAUUGGGAAGAACACCAGUGGCGAAGGCGGCUAUCUGGACGGUUUCUGACACUAAGACUCGAAAGCGAUGGGGAGCAAACAGG
rnacentral:rRNA from 1 species